rnacentral:rRNA from 1 species
AACGAACGCUGGCGGCAUGCCUAACACAUGCAAGUCGAACGAGACCUUCGGGUCUAGUGGCGCACGGGUGCGUAACGCGUGGGAACCUGCCCUUAGGUUCGGAAUAACUCCCCGAAAGGGGUGCUAAUACCGGAUAAUGUCUUCUGACCAAAGAUUUAUCGCCUUUGGAUGGUCCCGCGUUGGAUUAGCUAGUUGGUAGGGUAAAAGCAUACCAAGGCGACGAUCCAUAGCUGGUCUGAGAGGAUGAUCAGCCACACUGGGACUGAGACACGGCCCAGACUCUUCCGGGAGGCAGCAGUGGGGAAUAUUGGACAAUGGGGGAAAGGCUGAUCCAGCACUGCCGCGUGAGUGAUGAAGGCCUUAGGGUUGUAAAGCUCUUUUAACCGGGAUGAUAAUGACAGUACCGGGAGAAUAAGCUCCGGCUAACUCCGUG